ensembl:lncRNA
CUGGGAGAGAGGGAGGGUGUGAAAAAGGCCUGGGGUGGGGGGCAGCCCAGAAGGACUGCUGUAGUUCUCAGCUUCACAGGAGAAUCCCCUGGAGAAAACAAUGAUGGCUGGGCUCCAUCCCAAGCCAGCUAUUCCAAAUCACUAGGGGUGUGGCUCUGGCAACAGCAUUUUUUCAAGGUUUUCCAGGUGGUUCUUCCCGGCAACCUGGUUUGAGAACCACUCUUUUCACACAGGGGCCAGAGUAAGACAAUAAACAGACACACCUGAAGUUGUUCUCAAACUUUAUUAGGAGGUAAGCCGCCUGGAGAGCUUGGUGAAGUUGUGGGUUUUCUCAAACCCACCCCGCACCUCCCCCAGAAGAUCAGCUUCAGUUGGUCUGGAUGAAUCUACGUUUAUAACAAGCUCCCAGAGAUCCCGAGAUACCCUGGGGAAGAGAUGGUGGCUGAGGAGCAGAAGAGAGGUGAAAGUCUAAUCCUGAAGAUGACCCUUCCUAACCUUGGUCCCAGAGUGAGCUCAGUCAAACUCAGUCCCGAAAAAGAUGAGAAACCUGGGACACCAACAGGAAAAGUAACCUGCUGAUCGCAAAGAACUCAUUCCAUCUAAAAACAUCCAGAUAAGUGACACCAUACAGGAUUUGUCCUCCUCUGACUAUCUGAUUGAUUUCACUUAACAUACUGCCCUCAAGAUCCGUUUAUGUUCCGACAAACGGCAAAAUUUCAUUCCUUUUAUGGCUGGAUAAUAUGCCAGUGCAUGUGUUUAUGCUUUCCUGUUCUUUACUUCCCCUGGUGACUCAGAGGGUAAAGCAUCUGCCUACAAUGUGGGAGACCAGAGUUCAAUCCCUGAGUCAGGAAGAUCCCCUGGAGAAGGAAAUGGCAGCCCACUUCAGUACUCUUGCCUGGAAAAUCCCAUGGACAGAGGAGCCUGGGCUUUCCUGGUGCCUCAGCAGGAAACAUGGUUCCAUCCCUGGGUCAGGAAGAUCCCUUGGAGAAGGAAAUGGCAACGCACUCCAGUAUUCUUGCCUGGGAAAUCCCAUGGACAGAGAAGCCUGGCAGCUACAAUUCAUGGGGUCACGAAGAGUCUCCAUGAAUACACUGAAGAAAGGCUAUUGGUUGACCAGUUUUCCCAGCACAAAGGAAAAUAUAAGCAAGGUGAAAAGACAGCCAUCUGAAUGGGAGAAAAUAAUAGCAAAUGAAGCAACUGACAAACAACUAAUCUCAAAAAUAUACAAGCAACUUAUGCAGCUCAAUUCCAGAAAAAUAAACGACCCAAUCAAAAAAAUGGGCCAAAGAACUAAAUAGACAUUUCUCCAAAGAAGACAUACGGAUGGCUAACAAACACAUGAAAAGAUGCUCAACAUCACUCAUUAUUAGAGAAAUGCAAAUCAAAACCACAAUGAGGUACCACUUCACACCAGUCAGAAUGGCUGCGAUCCAAAAAUCUGCAAGCAAUAAAUGCUGGAGAGGGUGUGGAGAAAAGGGAACCCUCCUACACUGUUGGUGGGAAUGCAAACUAGUACAGCCACUAUGGAGAACAGUGUGGAGAUUCCUUAAAAAAUUGCAAAUAGAACUACCGUAUGACCUAGCAAUCCCACUGCUGGGCAUACACACCGAGAAACCAGAAUUGAAAGAGACACGUGUACCCCAAUGUUCAUCACAGCACUGUUUAUAAUAGCCAGGACGUGGAAACAACCUAGAUGUCCAUCAGCAGAUGAAUGGAUAAGAAAGCUGUGGUACAUAUACACAAUGGAGUAUUACUCAGCCGUUAAAAAGAAUUCAUUUGAAUCAGUUCUGAUGAGAUGGAUGAAACUGGAGCCAAUUAUACAGAGUGAAGUAAGUCAGAAAGAAAAACACCAAUACAGUAUACUAACACAUAUAUAUGGAAUUUAGAAAGAUGGCAAUGAUGACCCUGUAUGCAAGACAGCAAAAAAGACACAGAUGUGUAUAAUGGACUUUUGGACUCAGAGGGAGAGAGAGAGGGUGGGAUGAUUUGGGAGAAUGGCAUUCCAACAUGUACACUAUCAUGUAAGAAUUGAAUCGCCAGUCUAUGUCUGACGCAGGAUGCAGCAUGCUUGGG